rnacentral:lncRNA from 1 species
GGUGCUUAGGAGUGCCGAUAGAUAGUGGAUUGAUAGUACUGAGGAGAUAAGGUAGGAGACACUUAGCUUCUUUCGCUCGAGAUAGUCGGCGCAUCUAGGCGGGGCCGGGCAAGCUCGACCUUCCCCAUGGAUUAGCUAGGUCUCACUCAUGGAGAAUGCUUCCUUGAUCCAUGAUAUGUCUAUGGAGGAGAUUUAUGAGGCCUUCUAGGCCAUGGCUGAGGAUAGGGCACCUGGGUCGGAUGGCUUUCCCCUCUUCUUCUUUAGGCGAUAUUGGCCUAUUAUCCGAGGUGAGAUC